AACGAACGCUGGCGGCAGGCUUAACACAUGCAAGUCGAACGCCCCGCAAGGGGAGUGGCAGACGGGUGAGUAACGCGUGGGAAUCUACCUAGUUCUACGGAACAACAGAGGGAAACUUCUGCUAAUACCGUAUACGCCCUAAGGGGGAAAGACUUAUCGGAAUUAGAUGAGCCCGCGUAAGAUUAGCUAGUUGGUGGGGUAAUGGCCUACCAAGGCGACGAUCUUUAGCUGGUCUGAGAGGAUGAUCAGCCACACUGGGACUGAGACACGGCCCAGACUCCUACGGGAGGCAGCAGUGGGAAUAUUGUACAAUGGGCGCAAGCCUAAUCCAGCCAUGCCGCGUGAGUGAUGAAGGCCUUAGGGUUGUAAAGCUCUUUCAGUGGGGACGAUAAUGACGGUACCCACAGAAGAAGCCCCGGCUAACUUCGUGCCAGCCGCCGCGGUAAAAC
rnacentral:rRNA from 1 species